rnacentral:rRNA from 1 species
CGGGGUGAGUAAUGUCUGGGAAACUGCCUGAUGGAGGGGGAUAACUACUGGAAACGGUAGCUAAUACCGCAUAACGUCGCAAGACCAAAGAGGGGGACCUUAGGGCCUCUUGCCAUCGGAUGUGCCCAGAUGGGAUUAGCUAGUAGGUGGGGUAAUGGCUCACCUAGGCGACGAUCCCUAGCUGGUCUGAGAGGAUGACCAGCCACACUGGAACUGAGACACGGUCCAG